GGCACUUUGUCAGCAGUACAGUGGAACACUGCGGUCCAGGAGUGGCACAGCUGAACCCGGGGCAGCCUUGAGCACCCUUAAAAGACCUUCCCCAAAACCAGGCCUGCUGACAUCCCUUCAGACGAGUGGAGAGGGUCACCAUCCCCUCACCUGAGAUGCCAGCCACUCACCCCGCCACAUCAGCCCAGCUACACAUAAUCCUAACGCACGAGGUGGGGGGGAAGAGGGGUGCGAGCUGAUACAGGAGGCAGAGGGGGAACCAGAAGGUGGACUCAGCUUCUUUGACCUGAGGCCUAGGGGCCUCUGUCAAUUGGUAGAAGCCUCUGAAGCUGCAGCCUCCAACCACAGAGCCUGACGCGUGUGCCCAUCUUCCCACUGCAGCUCACAAGUUACUGUGUGUUAGUCUCCAUCCUUCAGCCUUUGCUGUGAGCAUCCUAGAAACAGCAGCCUUCCUCAGCCUGAUGAAACUGGGAGCAGGACCCCCAGGGGCCACAUCAAGGUACAGAGCAGUGUUGCUGGUCAUCAUAUAGAAUGUCAGCUGGGAGAGGUUUUGGUCCAGAAUCUGAGGUAAGAUGGUGACACCGCUUCUCCAGCCUGGGCCACUUCACCUUCAUCAGUUACCUCAGAUGAACCUCAGACUGGUACCCCAGGAGCCGGCACCCACCACUCCCUGCACAAACCAGUGGCCAGCACCAUGAACGCAGUCAAGGGCACCGCCUACUGAGGGGGUCCCAUAAGAGUUCGGCUCUUCCAAGUGCAUUCUCCUGGUGAUCCAACUUAGGUG